rnacentral:rRNA from 1 species
CGGGGGGGGCAAGCGUUGUUCGGAAUUACUGGGCGUAAAGGGCGCGUAGGCGGCCUUCUAAGUCGGACGUGAAAUCCCCCGGCUCAACCGGGGAACUGCGUCCGAUACUGGAGGGCUUGAAUCCGGGAGAGGGAUGUGGAAUUCCAGGUGUUAGCGGUGAAAUGCGUAGAUAUCUGGAGGAACACCGGUGGCGAAGGCGGCAUCCUGGACCGGUAUUGACGCUGAGGCGCGAAAGCCAGGGGAGCAAACGGGAUUAGAUACCCCGGUAGUCCUGGCCCUAAACGAUGAGUGCUUGGUGUGGCGGGUAUCGAUCCCUGCCGUGCCGAAGCUAACGCAUUAAGCACUCCGCCUGGGGAGUACGGUCGCAAGGCUG